rnacentral:lncRNA from 1 species
CUGUAAAAUUGCAGAAAAAUGUUUAGUUAACCCUCAAAUUAAGGAUGAAGAAUAUUUGCAGUGUGUUAACCACGAAAUUAAUACGUCGUUACCGAGUUGUUUUAAAAACAGAUCAUUUGGAAGUACGUUAAAUGAAUAUGUUUAACAUUGCAACAUAAAAUAAUAAAAAAAUAAAAAAGUUUUACUAUUACUAUUAUUUAUUACUAAUAAUAAUUAUAAUAAUUUUAUUUUUGUCGUGUUUAUUUUUUUAUUUUUUUUUUUGUAUUAUAGGACAAACUUAUUUUGCUGCUGGAGGAGGAAUACUAUUAUUAAUUUUGAUGAUAGUUUUAUACAACACCAAAUCACAGAACAAUACGGAAGAAUCUGACAUUUUCAUUGACGAUAACGAGUUUUACGGACCACAUAAAAUUAAUAUAAUACGUAAUGAUUUUAAGAAUAAUAAUGCA